rnacentral:rRNA from 1 species
CCUACGGGUGGCAGCAGUAGGGAAUAUUGCUCAAUGGGGGAAACCCUGAAGCAGCAACGCCGCGUGGAGGAUGAAGGUUUUCGGAUUGUAAACUCCUUUUGUUAGAGAAGAUAAUGACGGUAUCUAACGAAUAAGCACCGGCUAACUCCGUGCCAGCAGCCGCGGUAAUACGGAGGGUGCAAGCGUUACUCGGAAUCACUGGGCGUAAAGAGGGCGUAGGCGGGUUAGCAAGUCAGAUGUGAAAUCGUAUGGGUUAACCAUAGAACUGCAUUUGAAACUGGUAUUCUUGAGUAUGGGAGAGGUAGGUGGAAUUCUUGGUGUAGGGGUGAAAUCCGUAGAGAUCAAGAGGAAUACUCAUUGCGAAGGCGACCUGCUAGAACAUAACUGACGCUGAUGCGCGAAAGCGUGGGGAGCAAACAGGAUUAGAUACCCUUGUAGUC